GGAUAUCCAUACAUAGACAAAAAAGGGAAAGGGAGAACAGAGUAGCGAUCACCUCCAUUCAUCUUGAUUUUUUUUCUUUUUGGAAACACCAUAUACACAUAAGCACACAGUAAGGGAGAGGAUACGGGUAUACACGGGUCUUCACGUAAACACAUGGGGGAAACGGGUAUUCUCACAAUGAAGGAAAAGUUUUUCCAGUGAACUUUUUUGGCCGAAAUCUGUUUACAGGUAACCUUUUUGAUCAAUUCAAGUUUAAAAUUCCUAAAUAUUUUUAUCUCCACUGAAUUCUAAGUAAACCCGGCCAGAAAAACAGCGAGAUUCACCAGAAUAUAUUUUGAUUCAUGUUUUACUGCCUCCGUCUGGGCUCAUUGGAGCUCAGGCUACGCUGGUUUUCGGUCUUCUGUCGUAUUGAUUGGGGUUUUGGGUUCGUCUAUUCUCACGCUGUCCAGUUUGUAUAUUCUUAAUACCGAGUUGGAUUGUGCUGCUGUUGAGGUUUCUAUUCGGGAUUCCAAAUCCAGGUUUUCUUAAAUAUUAUUAUCAACAGAAAUCAGUUAUCAGAAGUUUCAAUUCUACUCUUUCNNNNN
rnacentral:lncRNA from 1 species